rnacentral:rRNA from 1 species
ACGCGGCCACGCCGUAAAACACCCAACUGAAGAACGUG